ensembl:lncRNA
UUUAUUCAAGUAUAAUUAUCGGCUACCGUUGAGUUGAGGAAUCAGUUUGAUGCAAAAAGUAAAAAGUCUCCAGUUGUCUUAAAUAUGAAUAUUAUCAGAUUGUUGUGAGCAAACCAGAGAUUUGAGGACUUGUUUUAUUUUCAUAAACUAAACAGCUAAUGGAAAAAGUAAUCCACAGGUUUACAGACCAUGAAUCACUAGCUAGUAUGAUCUUUACUCGAGAUACUCGAGCAUCUGGCCUCCUCCAGGUAGGACUUUCAGAAUGAAUGUUUGAGGAGGUCUGGAGGGAUUUAAUGAGUCUCGUGCUUCUCUGCUGCAGUGUGGAGAGCGAUUACAGAAGCACGUGAGACUAUUAAGAGUUCCCACCAACACCAGGUUCUCUUCCUCAAAGUGUACCGACUCACACCUCAGAUCUCCACGAGGCUUCAUGUGUAUGAAUCCAAACCCGAUCUGAAAGCUUCUUCUGGUUCUUCUUCUUCAUCGCUGUGGAUCCUCCGGCUUCAGAGGACUCGCCUCAUGAAGGCUGAAAAGCUUCUGGUCCACUUCUGCAGACAAAAGGGAUUCAAGAGACUCACACGACUCUGUACUGACAACGACUCACCUGACCACCGACACUAACGACUCACCUGACCACCGACACGAACGAGUCACGUGACUACUGACACUAACGAGUCACAUGACUACCGACACUAACGAGUCAGGUGACUACCGACACUAACGAGUCACCUGACUACUGACACUAACGACUCACCUGACUACCGACACGAACGAGUCAGGUGACUACCGACACUAACGACUCACGUGACCACCGACACUAACGAGUCACAUGACUACCGACACUAACGAGUCAGGUGACUACCGACACGAACGAGUCAGGUGACUACCGACACGAACGAGUCACGUGACUACCGACACUAACGAGUCACAUGACUACCGACACUAACGAGUCACGUGACUACCGACACUAACGACUCACGUGACCACCGACACUAACGAGUCACAUGACUACCGACACUAACGAGUCAGGUGACUACCGACACUAACGAGUCACGUGACUACAGACACUAACGAGUCAGGUGACUACCGACACUAACGAGUCACGUGACUACAGACACUAACGACUCACGUGACCACCGACACUAACGAGUCAGGUGACUACCGACACUAACGAGUCAGGUGACUACCGACACUAACGAGUCACGUGACUACAGACACUAACGAGUCAGGUGACUACAGACACUAACGACUUACCUGACCACCGACACUAACGAGUCACAUGACUACCGACACUAACGAGUCAGGUGACUACCGACACUAACGAGUCACGUGACUACAGACACUAACGAGUCAGGUGACUACAGACACUAACGAGUCACGUGACCACCGACACUAACGAGUCAGGUGACUACAGACACUAACGAGUCACGUGACCACCGACACUAACGAGUCAGGUGACUGAUAAGUCAAACUAAUAACAAUAUCUCAAUUUAUUUUAUCUUUUUUUAUUACAAUUUUGUAUCAAAGGUGCACAUUAAUAAAUCACAUAAGUCUUUAUAACUUUAACUCACAGUAAAAGACGUCUCAUGUCAGUAAUGGUUCUUUUAAUUCUGUGAAUCACUAAUUAGCAGAAGGUGGUUUAAUACAAGACGAGCAGCAGAGAUCCAGUAGAAUAGAAAGAUUCAUAGCAGACGCCUCCUUAAUUCCCCUUUAUGCUAAUUAAUAAUAAUCAAAGCUGCUUAUGUAACGGUGCACAACAGAAGGAGUCCUCCGUUCCGUCUCUCCAUCUUCCUGUGAUUUGACUUGAAAAUCUGUGUUUUGAGCUUUGACAGCAGCUCAGAUCGUGGUGAUAAAAAGCCGGUUGGUUACGUAACGCUGCUGCCCACAUAACCCCAGAUUACUGCUCUACAGGAGGAUGUGAUCAUCUCCACCACACCGACGAGUCACGUGACCAACUAGUGACUCGGGAGGACGGGGAGGACUGAGAGGACUGGGAGGACAGGGAGGACUGAGAGGACAGGGAGGACAGGCAGGACGGG